rnacentral:rRNA from 1 species
GCGCGAAAACUUUACAAUGCUGGCAACAGCGAUAAGGGAACCUCGAGUGCCAGGUUACAAAUCUGGCUGUCGAGAUGCCUAAAAGCAUUUCAUAGCAAGGGCCGGGCAAGACCGGUGCCAGCCGCCGCGGUAACACCGGCGGCUCGAGUGGUAACCGUUAUUAUUGGGUCUAAAGGGUCUGUAGCCGGCCGGAUAAGUCUCUUGAGAAAUCUGGCAGCUUAACUGUCAGGCUUUCAGGAGAUACUGUCUGGCUCGAGGCCGGGAGAGGUGAGAGGUACUUCAGGGGUAGGGGUGAAAUCUUGUAAUCCUUGAAGGACCACCAGUGGCGAAGGCGUCUCACCAGAACGGACCUGACGGCAAGGGACGAAAGCUAGGGGCACGAACCG